UACGUAGGUGGCAAGCGUUGUCCGGAUUUACUGGGCGUAAAGAGCGCGCAGGCGGUCGUCCAAGUCGCGUGUGAAAGCCCCCGGCUCAACUGGGGAGGGUCACUCGAUACUGAUCGACUCGAAGGCAGGAGAGGGUAGUGGAAUUCCCGGUGUAGUGGUGAAAUGCGUAGAUAUCGGGAGGAACACCAGUGGCGAAGGCGACUACCUGGCCUGUUCUUGACGCUGAGGCGCGAAAGCUAGGGGAGCAAACGGG
rnacentral:rRNA from 1 species